rnacentral:rRNA from 1 species
GAUGAACGCUGGCGGCGUGCCUAAUACAUGCAAGUCGAGCGAACGGACGAGAAGCUUGCUUCUCUGAUGUUAGCGGCGGACGGGUGAGUAACACGUGGAUAACCUACCUAUAAGACUGGGAUAACUUCGGGAAACCGGAGCUAAUACCGGAUAAUAUUUUGAACCGCAUGGUUCAAAAGUGAAAGACGGUCUUGCUGUCACUUAUAGAUGGAUCCGCGCUGCAUUAGCUAGUUGGUAAGGUAACGGCUUACCAAGGCAACGAUGCAUAGCCGACCUGAGAGGGUGAUCGGCCACACUGGAACUGAGACACGGUCCAGACUCCUACGGGAGGCAGCAGUAGGGAAUCUUCCGCAAUGGGCGAAAGCCUGACGGAGCAACGCCGCGUGAGUGAUGAAGGUCUUCGGAUCGUAAAACUCUGUUAUUAGGGAAGAACAUAUGUGUAAGUAACUGUGCACAUCUUGACGGUACCUAAUCAGAAAGCACGGCUAACUACGUG